rnacentral:rRNA from 1 species
CUGGGCGUAAGGGUGAGUAGGCGGCCAAAUAAGCCAGAGGUGAAAGGCUAGGGCUUAACCCUAGUAAGCCUAUGGAACUGUAUGGCUUGAGUGCAGGAGAGGAGAGUGGAAUUCCUAGUGUAGCGGUGAAAUGCGUAGAUAUUAGGAGGAACACCAGUGGCGAAGGCGACUCUCUGGACUGCAACUGACGCUGAGGCACGAAAGCGUGGGGAGCAAACAGGAUUAGAUACCCUGGUAGUCCACGCCGUAAACGAUGAGUGCUAGGUGUCGGGGGUUCACACCCUCGGUGCCGGAGUUAACGCAUUAAGCACUCCGCCUGGGGAGUACGGUCGCAAGACUGAAACUCAAAGGAAUUGACGGGGACCCGCACAAGCAGCGGAGCAUGUGGUUUAAUUCGAAGCAACGCGAAGAACCUUACCAGGGCUUGACAUCCCUCUGGCGUAGGAGUAAAAUUCUAUUUCCCUUAGGGGACAGAGGAGACAGGUGGUGCAUGGUUGUCGUCAGCUCGUGUCGUGAGAUGUUGGGUUAAGUCCCGCAACGAGCGCAACCCUUAUCUUUAGUUGCCAGCAUGUAAAGAUGGGAACUCUAGAGAGACUGCCGGUGAUAAACCGGAGGAAGGUGGGGAUGACGUCAAAUCAUCAUGCCCCUUAUGUUCUGGGCUACACACGUGCUACAAUGGCUGGUACAGAGGGAGGCUAAGGAGUAAUCUGGAGCGAAUCCCAAAAAGCCAGUCCCAGUUCGGAUUGGGGGCUGAAACUCGCCCCCAUGAAGUUGGAGUUGCUAGUAAUCGUGAAUCAGAAUGUCACGGUGAAUGCGUUCCCGGGUCUUGUACACACCGCCCGUCACACCAUGGGAGUUGGGGGCACCCGAAGUCAGCGGACUAACCGAAAGGAAGUAGCUGCCGAAAGGUGAAAUCAAUGACUGGGGUGAAGUCGUAACAAGGUAGCCAUCUUUCUAGAANAUCUC